AGAGUUUGAUCAUGGCUCAGGACGAACGCUGGCGGCGUGCCUAAUACAUGCAAGUCGAGCGGACAGAUGGGAGCUUGCUCCCUGAUGUUAGCGGCGGACGGGUGAGUAACACGUGGGUAACCUACCUGUAAGACUGGGAUAACUCCGGGAAACCGGGGCUAAUACCGGAUGGUUGUUUGAACCGCAUGGUUCAAACAUAAAAGGUGGCUUCGGCUACCACUUACAGAUGGACCCGCGGCGCAUUAGCUAGUUGGUGAGGUAACGGCUCACCAAGGCGACGACGCGUAGCCGACCUGAGAGGGUGAUCGGCCACACUGGGACUGAGACACGGCCCAGACUCCUACGGGAGGCAGCAGUAGGGAAUCUUCCGCAAUGGACGAAAGUCUGACGGAGCAACGCCGCGUGAGUGAUGAAGGUUUUCGGAUCGUAAAGCUCUGUUGUUAGGGAAGAACAAGUACCGUUCGAAUAGGGCGGUACCUUGACGGUACCUAACCAGAAAGCCACGGCUAACUACGUGCCAGCAGCCGCGGUAAUACGUAGGUGGCAAGCGUUGUCCGGAAUUAUUGGGCGUAAAGGGCUCGCAGGCGGUUUCUUAAGUCUGAUGUGAAAGCCCCCGGCUCAACCGGGGAGGGUCAUUGGAAACUGGGGAACUUGAGUGCAGAAGAGGAGAGUGGAAUUCCACGUGUAGCGGUGAAAUGCGUAGAGAUGUGGAGGAACACCAGUGGCGAAGGCGACUCUCUGGUCUGUAACUGACGCUGAGGAGCGAAAGCGUGGGGAGCGAACAGGAUUAGAUACCCUGGUAGUCCACGCCGUAAACGAUGAGUGCUAAGUGUUAGGGGGUUUCCGCCCCUUAGUGCUGCAGCUAACGCAUUAAGCACUCCGCCUGGGGAGUACGGUCGCAGACUGAAACUCACAGGAAUUGACGGGGGGCCGCACAACGGUGGAGGAUGUGGUUUAUUUCUAACAACGCGAAGAACCUUUACCAGGUCUUGACAUCCUCUGACAAUCCUAGAGAUAGGACGUCCCCUUCGGGGGCAGAGUGACAGGUGGUGCAUGGUUGUCGUCAGCUCGUGUCGUGAGAUGUUGGGUUAAGUCCCGCAACGAGCGCAACCCUUGAUCUUAGUUGCCAGCAUUCAGUUGGGCACUCUAAGGUGACUGCCGGUGACAAACCGGAGGAAGGUGGGGAUGACGUCAAAUCAUCAUGCCCCUUAUGACCUGGGCUACACACGUGCUACAAUGGACAGAACAAAGGGCAGCGAAACCGCGAGGUUAAGCCAAUCCCACAAAUCUGUUCUCAGUUCGUAUCGCAGUCUGCAACUCGACUGCGUGAAGCUGGAAUCGCUAGUAAUCGCGGAUCAGCAUGCCGCGGUGAAUACGUUCCCGGGCCUUGUACACACCGCCCGUCACACCACGAGAGUUUGUAACACCCGAAGUCGGUGAGGUAACCUUUUAGGAGCCAGCCGCCGAAGGUGGGACAGAUGAUUGGGGUGAAGUCGUAACAAGGUAACCG
rnacentral:rRNA from 1 species